rnacentral:snRNA from 1 species
UUACUCUCAAAAUGAUUGUCAGA